AACAAACGAUCGUUAAACAAUGAACGCAAAAUAAUCAAAGAUAUUAAAACAGAAAUAAAAACAAAACAAACAGAUGAAUAAAUAGAGUAAAAAAAAUACGUGUGUUUUGGAUAACAAAUUUAAAAAAAAAGCGAAAUGUUUAUUAAUAACGCAACUGCGAAUAAUAUAUUGCAAUUAUUGUGAACAGAUAAAUAAAUUAAUAAAUGUGUUUUAAUGUUAAAACAAAACCAGUGCAAAUGUACUAAAAUUAUUACAAAAAAAAGAUAUUUUUUAAUUAAAGAUAAAAACCUCAAAAGAAAAAAACGCUUGAUUAAAAUAAUAGCGAUUUUUUAAGCGCUGUUUGCAAAAAGAGCUGGUGAAAAUAAAUAAAAUGCUUUAAGUGUGUUUUGUUGUUUAUUUAUAUAAACAAUAAAUUUGUUUUUCACUACUAACGCAUUCAGUUGAAAAUGUUCUAAUUAACGUUUAACAUGCAACGGUGAAUAAAAAGAGAAAAAAAUUAAUAGAAAAAAAGUAUUUUAUAUAAAUUAAUAAUAAAUGUGAUAAAAAAUUUAAUAAAUAAAAAUCAAGUUAACACUUUCCACAAAAAAAAACAACUCUAAGUACAUACUUAGACCAAAAGCAAAAAAGCCAAACAUUUUAAAGUUAAUUUAAAUAUUUGUAUUAAUCUUCAAGGUGAUAAUCGUCUGCUUAAAUAAUAAACAAAAACAAAAAAUAAAUAAAUUGUAUUUGAUUUAGACCAACAAAUUAAAUAUAAAUAAAAAAAGAAUUUUUAAUUAAAAAAACUUAAAAAUUAAAGCAGAGAAUAAUACAAAAUUUAUUAAACGCAAUCUUAUCUUUUACAUUAAAAUAUGAAAAUAAAUUCUUUAAAAAUAAAAGAAAAAUUUCUUUAAAUGAAAAAGUUUAUUAUAUAAUUAAGUGAUUAUGUAUAUGUGAUAUUUAAAAAAAGAAAACCCUCUCAAACUAAAAAUAUUUUAUAAAAAAAAUCUAAACCCCCAAAAAUUUAAUCGUAAAUUACAAAAAUGUUCACUGUUCCCUGUCAUCGUGAUACAAUUUUGACAACAUCGCUUAGCGAUGCCUCCGUUUUAUCGAAAAGUCGUGCCGUAUGUAUAAUCGAUGCAAAAUUUUGUUUAAUUUUUAAAAAGUUAAAAGUGUUUUUUUUCUGCUAAUUUGUUGGCAUGUUUGUUCAAGUUUAUGCAUGUUGAAUUUUAUACAAAAAAAAAUUUGUUGAAAAUUACUGUAAAUGCUGUAAUUUUAAAUAAUAUUCCCGGAUUUUGUUUUGUUAAAAUAGGAUAUUAACUUUUAAUGAAUAUUUUUUCAACUGAAUUUUGAUUUAAAAAUUUGAAGAAUCCCAAAUUCACUUGAAAAUAGAAGGUAUAAUGAGAUUUUUAGUGAAAAUUUAGGUUUUCUGUGAAAAUUCGAAUUAAGAAUCCAGUCGAGUCUACAGUCAUUCUAUGAUUUAGUCCAUAGUCCAGACUAUAGGGCAAUCCAUAGGCCACACUAUAGUCCAG